rnacentral:rRNA from 1 species
UGGGGAAUUUUGGACAAUGGGCGAAAGCCUGAUCCAGCAAUGCCGCGUGUGUGAAGAAGGCCUUCGGGUUGUAAAGCACUUUUGUCCGGAAAGAAAUCCUUGGCUCUAAUACAGUCGGGGGAUGACGGUACCGGAAGAAUAAGCACCGGCUAACUACGUGCCAGCAGCCGCGGUAAUACGUAGGGUGCAGGCGUUAAUCGGAAUUACUGGGCGUAAAGCGUGCGCAGGCGGUUUGCUAAGACCGAUGUGAAAUCCCCGGGCUCAACCUGGGAACUGCAUUGGUGACUGGCAGGCUAGAGUAUGGCAGAGGGGGGUAGAAUUCCACGUGUAGCAGUGAAAUGCGUAGAGAUGUGGAGGAAUACCGAUGGCGAAGGCAGCCCCCUGGGCCAAUACUGACGCUCAUGCACGAAAGCGUGGGGAGCAAACAGGAUUAGAUACCCUGGUAGUCCACGCCCUAAACGAUGUCAACUAGUUGUUGGGGAUUCAUUUCCUUAGUAACGUAGCUAACGCGUGAAGUUGACCGCCUGGGGAGUACGGUCGCAAGAUUAAAACUUAAAUGAAUUGACGGGGU